rnacentral:rRNA from 1 species
UACGUAGGGUGCAAGCGUUAUCCGGAAUUAUUGGGCGUAAAGAGCUCGUAGGCGGUUUGUCGCGUCUGCUGUGAAAACUGGAGGCUCAACCUCCAGCCUGCAGUGGGUACGGGCAAACUAGAGUGCGGUAGGGGGAGAUUGGAAUUCCUGGUGUAGCGGUGGAAUGCGUAGAGAUCGGGAGGAACACCAGUGGCGAAGGCGACACGCUGGGCCGUACCUGACACUGAUGCGCGACAGCAUGGGGGAGCAAACAGG